rnacentral:rRNA from 1 species
AUUGAACGCUGGCGGCAGGCCUAACACAUGCAAGUCGAACGAGUGGCGGACGGGUGAGUAAUGUCUGGGAAACUGCCCGAUGGAGGGGGAUAACUACUGGAAACGGUAGCUAAUACCGCAUACCAUCGGAUGUGCCCAGAUGGGAUUAGCUAGUAGGUGGGGUAACGGCUCACCUAGGCGACGAUCCCUAGCUGGUCUGAGAGGAUGACCAGACACACUGGAACUGAGACACGGUCCAUAAUCCUACGGGAGGCAGAAGUGGGGAAGAUUGCACAAUGGGCGAAAGCCUGAUGAAGGCAUGCCGGGUGUAUGAAGAAGGCCUUCGGGUUGUAAAGUACUUUCAGCGAGGAAGCGUUACUCGCAGAAGAAGCACCGGCUAACUCCGUGCCAGCCGCCGCGGUAAUUC